AACGCUAGCUACAGGCUUAACACAUACAAGUCGAGGGGCAGCAUGAACUUAGCUUGCUAAGUUUGAUGGCGACCGGCGCACGGGUGAGUAACGCGUAUCCAACCUUCCGUACACUCAGGAAUAGCCUUUCGAAAGAAAGAUUAAUACCUGAUGGUAUGAUGAGAUUGCAUGAAAUCAUCAUUAAAGAUUCAUCGGUGUACGAUGGGGAUGCGUUCCAUUAGAUAGUAGGCGGGGUAACGGCCCACCUAGUCUACGAUGGAUAGGGGUUCUGAGAGGAAGGUCCCCCACAUUGGAACUGAGACACGGUCCAAACUCCUACGGGAGGCAGCAGUGAGGAAUAUUGGUCAAUGGGCGCGAGCCUGAACCAGCCAAGUAGCGUGAAGGAUGAAGGUCCUACGGAUUGUAAACUUCUUUUAUAAGGGAAUAAAGUCACCCACGUGUGGGUGUUUGUAUGUACCUUAUGAAUAAGCAUCGGCUAACUCCGUGCCAGCAGCCGCGGUAAUACGGAGGAUGCGAGCGUUAUCCGGAUUUAUUGGGUUUAAAGGGAGCGUAGACGGGUCGUUAAGUCAGCUGUGAAAGUUUGAGGCUCAACCUUAAAAUUGCAGUUGAUACUGGCGUCCUUGAGUACGGUUGAGGCAGGCGGAAUUCGUGGUGUAGCGGUGAAAUGCUUAGAUAUCACGAAGAACUCCGAUUG
rnacentral:rRNA from 1 species